rnacentral:rRNA from 1 species
CCUACGGGUGGCUGCAGUGGGGAAUAUUGGACAAUGGGCGAAAGCCUGAUCCAGCCAUGCCGCGUGUGUGAAGAAGGCCUUCGGGUUGUAAAGCACUUUCAGUGGGGAAGAAAGCCUUGGGGCUAAUACCCUCGAGGAAGGACAUCACCCACAGAAGAAGCACCGGCUAACUCCGUGCCAGCAGCCGCGGUAAUACGGAGGGUGCGAGCGUUAAUCGGAAUUACUGGGCGUAAAGCGCGCGUAGGCGGUCUGAUAAGCCGGUUGUGAAAGCCCCGGGCUCAACCUGGGAACGGCAUCCGGAACUGUCAGGCUAGAGUGCAGGAGAGGAAGGUAGAAUUCCCGGAGUAGCGGUGAAAUGCGUAGAGAUCGGGAGGAAUACCAGUGGCGAAGGCGGCCUUCUGGACUAACACUGACGCUGAGGUGCGAAAGCGUGGGUAGCAAACAGGAUUAGAUACCCUAGUAGUC